rnacentral:rRNA from 1 species
AGUGAACGCUGGCGGUAGGCCUAACACAUGCAAGUAGAACGGCAGCACAGUAAGAGCUUGCUCUUACGGGUGGCGAGUGGCGGACGGGUGAGGAAUACAUCGGAAUCUACUUUUUCGUGGGGGAUAACGUAGGGAAACUUACGCUAAUACCGCAUACGACCUACGGGUGAAAGCAGGGGAUCUUCGGACCUUGCGCGAUUGAAUGAGCCGAUGUCGGAUUAGCUAGUUGGCGGGGUAAAGGCCCACCAAGGCGACGAUCCGUAGCUGGUCUGAGAGGAUGAUCAGCCACACUGGAACUGUGACACGGUCCAGACUCCUACGGGAGGCAGCAGUGGGGAAUAUUGGACAAUGGGCGCAAGCCUGAUCCAGCCAUACCGCGUGGGUGAAGAAGGCCUUCGGGUUGUAAAGCCCUUUUGUUGGGAAAGAAAAGCAGCAGGUUAAUACCCCGCUGUUCUGACGGUACCCAAAGAAUAAGCACCGACUAACUUCGUG